rnacentral:rRNA from 1 species
UACGUAGGGUGCGAGCGUUGUCCGGAAUUAUUGGGCGUAAAGGGCUCGUAGGCGGUUUGUCGCGUCGGGAGUGAAAACCAGGUGCUUAACACCUGGCUUGCUUUCGAUACGGGCAGACUAGAGGUAUGCAGGGGAGAACGGAAUUCCUGGUGUAGCGGUGAAAUGCGCAGAUAUCAGGAGGAACACCGGUGGCGAAGGCGGUUCGCUGGGCCGUUCCUGACGCUGAGACGCGAAAGCUAGGGGAGCGAACAGG